UUUCCUGCCCAGUGACAAAAGUUCAACGGCCGCGGUAUCCUAACCGUGCAAAGGUAGCAUAAUCACUUGCCUAUUAAUUGUAGGCUAGAAUGAACGGAUCAACGAAAUAAAACCUGUCUCAGUUAGCAAACUAAAAAUUAUUCUCCAUACGAAGAAAUAUGGAUAAAAUCGAAGGACAAGAAGACCCUAUAGAGCUUUAUUUAAAUCACAGACCCUAUCUAGUGUAAUAAUUCGGUUGGGGCGACCAAGGGAAUAAAUAUCACCCUAAAACACAAAGAUUAAUAAAUCAUAAAAUUGACCCUUAUAAGAUCACAAGAUCAAGCUACCUUAAGGGAUAACAGGCUAAUCCCAUUCAAGAGUCCAUAUCAACAAUGGGGUUUGGCACCUCGAUGUUGGCUUUAGGUAACUAUGUAGCGCAAAAGCUAUAUUAUGUUGGUUUGUUCAACCAAUAAUUU
rnacentral:rRNA from 1 species